rnacentral:tRNA from 1 species
GGAGCAGUAGCUCACUGGUAGGGCUCCGGCUUUGUGCGCGGAAAAACCUGCGUUCGAUUCACGGCUGCUUUC